AUUUUACAACUUCAAAAGUAUUUAAAACUUAGCCUGCAAAAUAAAAACAUCUUCAUAAAAGUUAUGAAGACCCGUUUCUAAAGUAUACAAGCUAAAGAACUGAUUAUGUACCACAAAAGCUGUGAAGCCGAGAUCUUAAUUUUCUUAGCACCGGGUUGCAGCCCUUGGGUUGAAGAGAGCAAACGCUGGAGAUUUCUGGAAUAAACGGAAAAUGUGGGAAGAAUGUGAGGAGGCUCAGAGGGUGACUAGGGAGAAGGAGUCUUCAGCCACUAAUAUGGAAACAUAAACCAGAGAGAGAUGCAUUCCUUUGCCUACCACCAGAUGCUCCAAUGGAAGCAUCAUUUGCAGGGAGGAUGCUUGGAAUUACGUCUGAGAUCAAGAAGCAGAUGGAAAGCACCCGUGUGCUCCAUGUCCCGCUGACUGCUUUUAAUACAAUCCAUCAGGAGCUGAUGCAGUCAGAUGAGUCCCCACCAGAGACUGAACCACGCUUCGGACACUCAGCAUCCAAAAGUGGGAAGAGCUUCAUUAAAUCCCCUUUUCUCUGUCUCAGCCUGUCUCUCUCUUUCCACUCUCACACGCAGACUCUAUUUCCCUCCAGUUGUUUACCAUAGUAAUGAAAACUAACUCAUCCAGGUGUCUGUCGUGCUUACUAAAAUGAAAUGCAGCAUAGCAUGCAUAGCAUGGUUGCUGCAGACAAGUCACUAAUCAUGCUCUUCCAAGCUUCUCCAAUUUGCCAGUCUGACUAUCAUGAUGGGAGCAUAGAACUUUAUGAGUGCCCAAACCAUUGAAUCAAGUGCUGAAAGACCAAAGCAGUGAAAUGCAUGGCUAGCUUCUUAGCUAGAUGGAAGGGGAAAUGGAAAAUUACCAAAAAAAAAAAAAAAAAAAAAACCCUCACAAGAUAGCAUCUCCCAAUUAUUUACAUACAUCUCUCUGAGGACUUAACCCACUGCUUUCUCUGCUCUAUUUUUAUGUUUCCGUUAAUAUACUAAUUUGAUUCUUACUAGGAGUCAGCUCAAUAUCAUUCAUCUCUCCUAAGAUUUGAGAAAAAUAGAGGCCAGACAAGGAAAUUAAACCAGUGUAGCACAGACUUGAAAUUGUUUCGGUUUACCAUUUUCCAAGGAACUGGUGUUCACAUGAAAAGAUUGUUCUACAAACCAGUGCUUCUGAGUUACCAUCCCAGGUGCCACAAAGACCUUGAUGGAGUUGCACAACCUCUAACUUCGCUUGUUCGGAAGUAAAGCUACAGAGUAAAGCUGACAGAGGGUUUCAGACGUUAAAUGAGAUGAUGAAUGACUCGCUAUUUUGUGAAACUGGAAUCACUUUGUAAAUAAGCCUGAUGGCCUCUCCAUGCUUGGCUUCACAAAUCACACAUCCGAGGUAGGUAUUAUUUGUUGGUCAUUACUUAAGUAAAUGAGGUGCUUAAAUUACCCUUGGAAAAUUAGCAGAAGAGAGUCUCUGGUCAGAAGAGUGAGGAUCUGAGUCCAAGUGAAAAAGAAGUUCGAGAAGUGGUUCAGGUUAUCAGAAUAGUAGUUGGAAAGGAAC
rnacentral:lncRNA from 1 species